rnacentral:rRNA from 1 species
GACGAACGCUGGCGGCGUGCUUAACACAUGCAAGUCGAGCGGAAAGGCCCUUUCGGGGGUACUCGAGCGGCGAACGGGUGAGUAACACGUGAGUAAUCUGCCCUUGGCUUUGGGAUAGCCACCGGAAACGGUGAUUAAUACCGGAUACGACAACUCCACGCAUGUGGUGGUUGUGGAAAGUUUUUUCGGCCAGGGAUGUGCUCGCGGCCUAUCAGCUUGUUGGUGGGGUAAUGGCCUACCAAGGCUUCGACGGGUAGCCGGCCUGAGAGGGUGACCGGCCACACUGGGACUGAGACACGGCCCAGACUCCUACGGGAGGCAGCAGUGGGGAAUAUUGGACAAUGGGCGGAAGCCUGAUCCAGCAACGCCGCGUGAGGGAUGACGGCCAUCGGGUUGUAAACCUCUUUCAGUACCGACGAAGCGAGAGUGACGGUAGGUACAGAAGAAGCACCGGCCAACUACGUGCCAGCAGCCGCGGUAACAC